ACAGGUCCAGUUACAUCGUUGGGUAUACAAAAAGAGCUCCACUAGUUGGUAGAAGCACUCGCUCUUUAGGGUUUUACUUUCAGUUUAAAUAAGCUUCAAAGAGAAACACAAUCUUGUUUAAUUACUGCAUCAAUUCAGUUUUCAGUUUACAUUUUCUGUUUUCAAAAAAGUUAUCUUCUUAUUCUUCAAUUCAUCAGUAUUUCCAUUUUCUUUUAUGGUAUCAAGAUCCCUAGGUUCAUGAUUGAUGGCAUCUUCAAUCAAUGAGUCUCCAUCCUCAGCAAACAUGGUACCAAAUUCGAAUAACAGCAGCAUCAACAAUUUGACAACAACACAAUUUCUUUCUCAUAGACCAUUCAAUCCGAUUCAAGACAAACUCGGAGAGAACAAUCAUAAAACAUGGGAGCAAUAAGCUCUUGCAGCCAUUAGAGGUCAAUGCUUACAAGAUCAUCUGCAAAAAGAGAAGAUUCCACAACAGUUCGAAAAUCAAGAAAAACCAAAGAGCAUGUAUUGAAUCUGAUCAAUACACACAAUGGAUUCAGGAUGAUCAGAAUCUCAUAUCAUGGUUGCUAGCAUCGAUGGAUUUUGUCUUUAAGCAAAAAAUGGUGGGAUGCAUCUAUAGCUAUCAAAUCUGGAAAAAGAUACAAAUUUAUUUGCAAGAAUCAACCAAAUUCAGAAUUAAACAAUUGAAGACUCAGGUUAAAGGAAUCAAGAAACAAGGUCUUUCAACAGCAGAUUAUAUUUCCAAGAUCAAGACCAUUGCAGACUCACUAACAGUCCUUGGGGGAAACCUCUCAAAAUGGAAAAACAGAUACAAGCCAUCUUAAAAAGACUUAUGAAGACUAUCAAAUGCUUCUGCUAAUAAUUAACUCGAAACCAGAUUCAUUCACACUAUGUGAGGUUGAAACUCUUCUGUUAACUCAUGAGGAUCUGCUGGAGAAGUUCAGAAAAACAGAACCUGCAAUGGUUCAGGAAAAUCUUGCUUAGUCUUCAUAUCCAACAAUUCCAAUUUUUAAUAGAGGCAAUGGAGGGCGUAGAAAAGGAAAAAAUGGUGAUAGAUUUCAAAGAAGUGGAAGAUCUUUCUACCAAUCUCCAAGACCACAAUGCCAAGUGUGUUGAAAAUUUUGUCACAUUGCUUGACGCUGUUUUUACAUAUUCAACCAAGAAAUACCCCCAUCUCCACAGCCUCACCAAUCAAGAUUUGAUACCUUUGGUACAAAUUCAUCAUCUGCUUUAGGUUCACAAGGUACUCCUACAUCAACCAUUCCACCACUGCCAACAUCUUCCUUCCACAAUCCAUCUGCAUAUGUAGAUGUACCUUCUUCUAUUACAGACCCCUCAUGAUAUCCAGAUUCAGGUGCCUCACAUCACAUAAUACCUAAUCCUUCAAAUUUGCUCUCAGGAUCGGAAUACACGGGUUCUGAUUAGGUCCAAAUUGGAAAUGGAACAGGUAUCCCUAUUACACAUAUUGGUAAUUCUGUUCUAUACUCUAUUGACUCUAAAAGAUGGUUUUUACUACAAAAACUAAUACACACACCUGAAAUAACAAAGAAUUUAAUUAGUGUUAGCAAAUUUGCAGAAGAUAAUACGGUCUAUUUUCAAUUUCAUGCCACUUAUUGUGUUGUAAAAUGUGAAUUUACUCACAAAAUUUUAUUACAAGGAUUUAGAAAUGGAGGACUAUACAAAUUUGUGAAUAUCUGUGUUCCUCAACCAUCAUCUAAUCAAACGUCUCCUUCUGUGUAUUCAUUGCAUUGUUCUUUAUUAGAUUUGUGGCAUAAGCGACUAGGGCACUUAGCCUUUAAAACUGUACAAUUAGUACUAAAACAAUGUAAUAUUUGCUUUACUGAUAUUAAUAAAACAGAUGUGGACUUUACAGCUCAAGUUUGUGAAAACUGUGCAAAAGCAAAGAUGCAUAAACUACCAUUUGUUGGUUCAAUUACUGAGUUUACUUACCAUUUACAACUCAUUUUCUUUGAUGUGUGGGGUCCUGCACCACUAAUUUCACACUUGGGCUACAGGGACUCAUGUGCCUAAUGCUGUGCAAGGAACUAAAAAUAAUCAGCAUACUCUUAGAGCCACUAUACCAGAUAUUUCUCAUUCUCUUCCUCUAACACACACUCAAUCCACUACUGACACAAACACUCAUUUACCCUCUAUUGACCAAUCUUUCUCACUAACACCAAUCAAUUCUCAAAAUCAGAAAAUCUACACCCAAUGAUAACUAGGUCCAAAAUUAAUUCUGCAAAAUCAAAAGUCUUGACUUCCACUGUCACUGACUUAGACGAUAAGGAAUAGCUACCAAAAAUACCUAAAGUAGCCCUUAGCAUACCUCAUUGGUA